AAUAUUGGACAAUGGGGGCAACCCUGAUCUAGCCAUGCCGCGUGUGUGAAGAAGGUCUUCGGAUUGUAAAGCACGUUAAGUUGGGAGGAAGGGCUUUAGGCUACUACCCUGAAGUUUUGACGUUACCAACAGAAUAAGAACCGGCCAACUAUGUGCCUGCAGCCGCGGUAAUACAGAGGGUGCAAGCGUUAAUCGGACUUACUGGGCGUAAAGCGCGCGUAGGUGAUUCAGUAAGAUGGGUGUGAAAUCCCCGGGCUUAACCCGGGAACUGCUUUCAUAACUGCUGAGCUAGAGUACGGUAGAGGGUAGUGGAAUUUCCUGUGUAGCGGUGAAAUGCGUAGAUAUAGGAAGGAACACCAGUGGCGAAGGCGACUACCUGGACUGAUACUGACACUGAGGUGCGAAAGCGUGGGGAGAAAACAG
rnacentral:rRNA from 1 species